rnacentral:rRNA from 1 species
GAGUUUGAUCUUGGCUCAGGAUGAACGCUGGCGGCGUGCCUAACACAUGCAAGUCGAACGGAGUUCUUAAGGAAUGCGGCUUCGGCCAAAUGACUUUUGAACUUAGUGGCGGACGGGUGAGUAACGCGUGAGCAACCUGCCUUUCAGAGGGGGAUAACAUUUGGAAACAGAUGCUAAUACCGCAUAAGAUUACAGUACCGCAUGAUACAGUGAUCAAAGGAGCAAUCCGCUGAAAGAUGGGCUCGCGUCCGAUUAGAUAGUUGGUGAGGUAACGGCUCACCAAGUCGACGAUCGGUAGCCGGACUGAGAGGUUGAACGGCCACAUUGGGACUGAGACACGGCCCAGACUCCUACGGGAGGCAGCAGUGGGGAAUAUUGCACGAAUGGGCGAAAGCCUGAUGCAGCAACGCCGCGUGAGGGAAGACGGUUUUCGGAUUGGUAAAACCUCUGUUUUCGGUGACGAACAAAUGACGGUAACCGAGUAGGAGCCACGGCUAA